GGUAGGAGGAGGACCAGGCAAAUCCGGGCCUCAUAUACUCUGAGACGUGAUACCGAGCCGCUUCAGGCGAAGUCAUUAAUCCUAUGCUGCCUAGAAAAGCCCAGUAGCGAGUUGACAUGGUGCCCGUACCCCAAACCAACACAGGUGGACAGGUAGAGCAUACCAAGGCGAGUGGGAUAACUAUGGUUAAGGAACUCGGCAAAUUUCCUCCGUAACUUCGGGAUAAGGAGGACCCCAGUAGCGUGACGAGACUUGCUCUCCGAGCGUGAAGGGGUGGCACAAAAUUGAGGGAAGCGACUGUUUACCAAAAACACAGCAGCGUGCUAAGCCGUAAGGCGCUGUAUACGCUGUGACUCCUGCCCGGUGCUGGAAGGUUACGGGGAUGGGUUAGUCCUUUGGGACGAAGCUCUGAACCUAAGCCCCAGUAAACGGCGGCCGUAACUAUAACGGUCCUAAGGUAGCGAAAUUCCUUGUCGGGUAAGUUCCGACCUGCACGAAUGGAGUAACGACUUCCCUACUGUCUCAACCAUAGACCCAGCGAAAUUGAAGUACGAGUAAAGAUGCUCGUUAGCUGCAGAAGGACGGAAAGACCCCGUGGACCUUUACUAUAACUUGAUGUUGUGUUUUGUCAUAUGUUGUGUAGGAUAGGUGGGAGACAAGGAAGCAUGGACGCUAGUCUGUGUGGAGUCAUCGUUGAAAUACCACCCUGCAUAUGGUGAGGCUCUAACCUAGACCCGUUAUCCGGGUUGGGGACAGCGUCAGGCGGGUAGUUUAACUGGGGCGGCUGCCUCCUAAAGAGUAACGGAGGCGCCCAAAGGUUCCCUCAGCCUGGUUGGCAAUCAGGCGUCGAGUGCAAUGGCAAGAGGGAGCUUGACUGCGAGACCUACAAGUCGAGCAGGAGCGAAAUCUGGGCAUAGUGAUCCGGCGGUUGCGUGUGGAAGCGCCGUCGCUCAGCGGAUAAAAGGUACCCCGGGGAUAACUGGCUAAUCUUGCCCAAGCGUCCAUAGCGACGGCAAGGUUUGGCACCUCGAUGUCGGCUCAUCGCAUCCUGGGGCUGAAGCAGGUCCCAAGGGUUGGGCUGUUCGCCCAUUAAAGCGGUACGCGAGCUGGGUUCAGAACGUCGUGAGACAGUUCGGUCCCUAUCCUCUGUAGCCGUAGGUGAAUUGAGGAAAGCUGUCCCUAGUACGAGAGGACCGGGACGGACGCAGCUCUCGUGUGCCAGUUGUCCUGCCAAGGGCAUGGCUGGUUAGCGACCUGCGGAAAGGAUAACCGCUGAAAGCAUCUAAGCGGGAAGCCUCUUCCAAGAUGAAUUCACCCACAGGGUUAACCUGGUAAGGCCCGUGGUAGACCACCACGUUGAUAGGCCGGAAGUGUAAGCGUGGCAACACGUUCAGCUGACCGGUACUAAUCGGCC
rnacentral:rRNA from 1 species